AAUUCUUAGCUGGGUCUGGCUUCGAGGUGCCUUAAUAGUGAUGGCGUUGCUGUAAAGUAGCAGUGCCCAACAUUGUUGGUACGGGAGCUCUCUGGGUGUUCGUAGUCUGUGUUGCGACCUUCGAUUGAGUUUUGUUUCAGAGCGCUCCGUCGGCUGUGGGAGGUCAGGUUAAGAGAAUAUGGGUUGUGGGGUCAAAUUCAACUUGGCGGUAAUUCACAGAAAAUGUGACAUCGUGAGGGGCUGCGAGAUGGGAGGAAAUGACAAGAGUGAUUAAGCAGGGAAGAUCCUCGUGAUACAGGCUAUGAACGGGAAAGAGCGAUGGCGUUGGAUCCGAACGUUACGUAAUCUGAGACAGCAUCACCAACCAUCCUCACAGAUGCCAUCAAUUCGGGAAUGUCCUUUCCUCCGAAGGUACUCUUAACGCCGAAGGUCUAUGCACAUGUUGGUAUAACAAACGGUUGUGAUACAUGCUCUUAUUGAAUCUUCAGUCAUGCCACUGCAACAGAAGUACAAGAAACAUUCGAGGGUUGGAUAGACGCAAACUGGAGUUAACUUUGAUCACUUUUCACGGUCUCCAUUCAAGCCGAGGACAUACAUGUAGACGAGGACAAGCAUUAUUUGACUUAUAGGUUUUAUGAGUAGCUUGCUUUAGAACUGCAUGUGUGAACGAGAUGGAUCUCACGAAAAUUUAUUUCUUUUCGUUUCCUUUCGUUUUGAGCUAAGUCUCGAAGAUGGAAAUGCAAACUGACGUCUCGCAUUUCUAGGCCAUGUACAUUACACGGUGUAAUGUUCCCCACAUUUGAUUAGGUUUAGCCCCUGAUGAAGUUUUGGUGUCAUUUGGCUCAGGAAUGACGUGGAUGUCGAAUAAAUUGGUUGUGAAAGCUUUGAAGCGCUGAAAAUCAUUAGAGAGCAGGACGCCAUGAGCUGUUGGCGACCAGGUCUUCAGAAUUCGUGUUUAGCUUCACUCGCUCGCGAUCGUGAGAUGUCCAUGGGAGACCUCAAGCUUCGUAGCAUACUUGCUAAACUUUAUGCCUAAUUUCUGUCGCGGUGUUCAGGUCAAAGAUGCCUCGGUGCAGUUCGACUAUGAUCAGAUUGAUCCAAAUGAAGAGGAAGCUCAACUCGCUCUGCGUAACAAGGCAUGUUGUCAUGUUUGCAGGAUCCAAUGAAGAGGGAGAGAAAAGUUAACAAGCUUACAGGCGAGCUCUUUGAGUAUAUAAUCUACAACACAGUGUCACCUGAACUUGUCAAAUCUGCUAAUGUCGCACGGAGCAGGAGGUGGAGCGUUUGUUGCUCCAUACAUUAUGGGAAAGUAAAAGCAAUAAGCACAAGUGUGGAGAAUCACUAACGACGAACACGUUCAAGGCUGCCCGUUCGACUAGUAAACUUUCAGAUAGUGGAGUUGUGCAGUUGCGAUGUAACAUCUUACCGGUGAUACAUCUAGCUGGAACGGCGGAGAAUGUGGAGAUGUCUAUUCGAGCGUCUGAGAAAUAUCGAGACGACGUGGUCAACCUGGAUGCACUGUUGGUUCCCAUGGACGAAAUUGUGUACCGAGUUCAAGCUGCGGCUGCGAAAGGGGUAAUUCAAAAAAAGGAAAAAAGAUUCAAAGAUUGAAUCACUCUGGCCAGUGCAGUGGGAGAGUAAUCAUUUGUACGCAACUUGGAACUGUACGAAACUGUAACAGUUGGGUGAGAGAGCAGCAAGAACCCGAAGAAUUGACUCCAAGAGAAGACGUUCUCAUUGUUCUGCAGCUUGGUGGAAGAGUCGGGAAAUCUAGAUGAGUGCGUUCCCUAAACUCGACUCUGCCUUGUUUUCUCUGCUCCAUCCUUAGUAGCCUGUUUCUGGCAAAUGAAUGUUUCAACCUCGUUGAUAAUCCCCACCUCAAUCCAGAUCCCCGAGUCCUCUUUUGUGUUUUCCAACCCUGACUCAAAACCAGAAUCAGAUCCUACACUUGCCGUGACUUUCUUUGGAAAAUAAUUAUAUUAAAAGAGAUGAAGAAACCGGUUGACAGUAGUAUCCAGCCAACCAGUAUCAUAAGGUCACUUGACAUUGUGGUCGACUCUGGGUUGGCUAAAGCACGAUUCAGGAACAACUCAACCCUCUUUCAUAAUCACAAUAUGUGUGUGUGUGUGUAUGUGAUGACAAUAUGUCAAUUACAAACGCUGUAGUGACUACUUGUUUGCUAUCCGAUCGAUCCAGAGUGUUAUUUUGAUGCAAGGAAUGCCUGAGUAGGUGGAUAUUGUGAAUCAAAAGACGCCUCUUGACAUUUUUGUUACCAAGCUUGAGAAGUGAAUGCUUUCAUGCUUCUCUUACCUCUUGACGAGGACAUCGUGUCUUUUUGUAAGUACAUCUUCAGCAUAAGUUUGGAUUAGCAGUGAUUGACGACACAUGCAAUGUUCAUGGAUCACACGAAAUCUGUACCCAUUUUUGCACCACGUUGGUGCUAGCAGGCAGGGAAACAAUGUCUGCAAUAAUAUGCAACUUGCUGCUGAUCCUUCUCUUCAUCCCCAAA